CAGGCUUAACACAUGCAAGUCGAGGGGCAGCAUGGUCUUAGCUUGCUAAGGCCGAUGGCGACCGGCGCACGGGUGAGUAACACGUAUCCAACCUGCCGUCUACUCUUGGACAGCCUUCUGAAAGGAAGAUUAAUACAAGAUGGCAUCAUGAGUCCGCAUGUUCACAUGAUUAAAGGUAUUCCGGUAGACGAUGGGGAUGCGUUCCAUUAGAUAGUAGGCGGGGUAACGGCCCACCUAGUCUUCGAUGGAUAGGGGUUCUGAGAGGAAGGUCCCCCACAUUGGAACUGAGACACGGUCCAAACUCCUACGGGAGGCAGCAGUGAGGAAUAUUGGUCAAUGGGCGAGAGCCUGAACCAGCCAAGUAGCGUGAAGGAUGACUGCCCUAUGGGUUGUAAACUUCUUUUAUAAAGGAAUAAAGUCGGGUAUGGAUACCCGUUUGCAUGUACUUUAUGAAUAAGGAUCGGCUAACUCCGUGCCAGCAGCCGCGGUAAUACGGAGGAUCCGAGCGUUAUCCGGAUUUAUUGGGUUUAAAGGGAGCGUAGAUGGAUGUUUAAGUCAGUUGUGAAAGUUUGCGGCUCAACCGUAAAAUUGCAGUUGAUACUGGAUAUCUUGAGUGCAGUUGAGGCAGGCGGAAUUCGUGGUGUAGCGGUGAAAUGCUUAGAUAUCACGAAGAAUUCCGAUUGCGAAGGCAGCCUGCUAAGCUGCAACUGACAUUGAGGCUCGAAAGUGUGGGUAUCAAACAGGAUUAGAUACCCUGGUAGUCCACACGGUAAACGAUGAAUACUCGCUGUUUGCGAUAUACAGCAAGCGGCCAAGCGAAAGCGUUAAGUAUUCCACCUGGGGAGUACGCCGGCAACGGUGAAACUCAAAGGAAUUGACGGGGGCCCGCACAAGCGGAGGAACAUGUGGUUUAAUUCGAUGAUACGCGAGGAACCUUACCCGGGCUUAAAUUGCAGAUGAAUUACGGUGAAAGCCGUAAGCCGCAAGGCAUCUGUGAAGGUGCUGCAUGGUUGUCGUCAGCUCGUGCCGUGAGGUGUCGGCUUAAGUGCCAUAACGAGCGCAACCCUUGUUGUCAGUUACUAACAGGUUCCGCUGAGGACUCUGACAAGACUGCCAUCGUAAGAUGUGAGGAAGGUGGGGAUGACGUCAAAUCAGCACGGCCCUUACGUCCGGGGCUACACACGUGUUACAAUGGGGGGUACAGAGGGCCGCUACCACGCGAGUGGAUGCCAAUCCCAAAAACCUCUCUCAGUUCGGACUGGAGUCUGCAACCCGACUCCACGAAGCUGGAUUCGCUAGUAAUCGCGCAUCAGCCACGGCGCGGUGAAUACGUUCCCGGGCCUUGUACACACCGCCCGUCAAGCCAUGGGAGCCGGGGGUACCUGAAGUGCGUAACCGCGAGGAGCGCCCUAGGGUAAAACUGGUGACUGGGGC
rnacentral:rRNA from 1 species